rnacentral:rRNA from 2 species
GACGAACGCUGGCGGCGUGCUUAACACAUGCAAGUCGAACGGAAAGGCCUCUUCGGAGGUACUCGAGUGGCGAACGGGUGAGUAACACGUGGGCAAUCUGCCCUGCACUUCGGGAUAAGCCUGGGAAACUGGGUCUAAUACCGGAUAGGACCUUUAGACGCAUGUCUUUUGGUGGAAAGCUUUUGCGGUGUGGGAUGGGCCCGCGGCCUAUCAGCUUGUUGGUGGGGUGAUGGCCUACCAAGGCGACGACGGGUAGCCGGCCUGAGAGGGUGUCCGGCCACACUGGGACUGAGAUACGGCCCAGACUCCUACGGGAGGCAGCAGUGGGGAAUAUUGCACAAUGGGCGCAAGCCUGAUGCAGCGACGCCGCGUGGGGGAUGACGGCCUUCGGGUUGUAAACCUCUUUCACCAUCGACGAAGGUCCGGGUUUUCUCGGAUUGACGGUAGGUGGAGAAGAAGCACCGGCCAACUACG